UUGGCCUACGGGGCGCAGCAGUGAGGAAUAUUGGUCAAUGGGCGCAAGCCUGAACCAGCCAAGUCGCGUGAGGGAAGACGGCCCUAUGGGUUGUAAACCUCUUUUGCCGGGGAGCAAGCCUGAGCACGUGUGCCCAGGCGGAGAGUACCCGGAGAAAAAGCAUCGGCUAACUCCGUGCCAGCAGCCGCGGUAAUACGGAGGAUGCGAGCGUUAUCCGGAUUUAUUGGGCGUAAAGGGAACGCAGGCGGUCUUUUAAGUCUGAUGUGAAAGCCUUCGGCUUAACCGGAGUAGUGCAUUGGAAACUG
rnacentral:rRNA from 1 species